AGAACUGCUUAAUGAAUGUACUGCCUUGUAAUACUCCACAGGGUAUACUUUAUUUUCUCUCUGUUACAGCUUUUGUCUCUGCAGAUAUUUCUAAAAGCUCAGUGUUAAGAAAGCAAAACUCAUACUGAUCAUGUAUGUUUAUUAGAAGCUGCUGGUCAUGGAGAACACCAGUGGCUUGAGUGAUUCAAACUUAUCUGGAUUUUUUACAGGGACAGCCACCAAGGAAUCCGUUAUGCCUCUCUUCCCAAGCUACCUGGCUCCCAUACAAGUUAGAGCUGCAAGGAGCAGCUCUAAUUUAUACUACAGAGACAACUUAUUUAAAUACAGUAUUGUGCUAUGAUUGAAAACUAAAAAUAUAACCUCCCCAUCCCCAGUGCCAUGAGAAAAUCAAGACUUUUUGCAUAAUGACUAGCUGUAUUGUAGUACCAAAAAAUGCUAUCUGGCACAGACCUCCAAUAAGCCUGGACUCAUGGAAUGUCAUUCUGGUACUUGAAAAGGAAAAGUACUGCAGUCAUUGCAAUACAACAUUUCUUCAAAAAGAAGAACAUGGAUCAGUUUAACAGUUUGCAAUGAUACCUGAAAAUUCUGUUCCUGAGUGAUCUGACAAAGCCUGGGAAUGUUGCAGAGGAAAUGCAUUCAACUUUGAAAGCUAAAGGCAAAAGGUAGAAGAGCGAUCCUUUCACUUUUCUAGUGUUAAACUGUUACUCUGACAAAUCAGGAUGGUGCUUUCAUAUGAGCUUGUCUACUGCAUGCAUGAGGAAGCAUGAAUAGUCUUCUUGGA